GUGAGUCAUCGAAUCUUUGAACGCACAUUGCGCCCUCCGGUAUUCCGGAGGGCAUGCCUGUUCGAGCGUCAUUACAACCCUCAAGCCCCCGGCUUGGUAUUGGGCAUCGCCGGUGACGGCGUGCCUUAAAAUCAGUGGCGGUGCCAUCUGGCUCUAAGCGUAGUAACACUCUCGCUCUGGGUGCCCGGUGGCCGCUGGCCAGCAACCCCAUCUUUUAUGGUUGACCUCGGAUCAGGUAGGGAUACCCGCUGAACUUAAGCAUAUCAAUAAGCGGAGGA
rnacentral:misc_RNA from 1 species